rnacentral:rRNA from 1 species
GACGAACGCUGGCGGCGUGCUUAACACAUGCAAGUCGAACGGAAAGGCCCUGCUUGUAGGGUACUCGAGUGGCGAACGGGUGAGUAACACGUGGGUGAUCUGCCCUGCACUUCGGGAUAAGCCUGGGAAACUGGGUCUAAUACCGGAUAGGAGCCAUUUUUAGUGUGAUGGUUGGAAAGUUUUUUCGGUGUAGGAUGAGCUCGCGGCCUAUCAGCUUGUUGGUGGGGUAAUGGCAUACCAAGGCGGCGACGGGUAGCCGGCCUGAGAGGGUGGACGGCCACAUUGGGACUGAGAUACGGCCAAGACUCCUACGGGAGGCAGCAGUGGGGAAGAUUGCACAAGGGGCGCAAGCCUGAUGCAGAGACGCCGCGUGGGGGAUGACGGCCUUCGGGUUGGAAACUCAUUACGCUAGGGACGAAGCUUUUUGUGACGGUACCUAGAGAAGAAGCACCGGCUAACUACGUG